ACUGUUUAUGUUCAUGCCAAAGAAUCUCUAAGGAGAUUCUUAUUAGAGAUUCUUUGGUUCAUGCAAUGUCAUUGCUUAUUAUGACAUGCUAAGUAACAAUUUUGUAGUGUGCUGAAUUGCGUGGUCAUGUUGCAUUGCAUUAUGUGGUGGCAUAAUUAUCUGAAGACUUAGUCGAGUAUUUAUUAUUCACCUUAGUUCUCUCUAGAAUUCAGACGUGCUUUGAAGUGUUAAUCCAAAUUAUUUUAAAAUGGAAUUCCCAGAUUUGGGCAGUCAUUGUUUUGUAAAGACCUGCAAUAAAUUGGACUUUUUGCCAAUGAAGUGUGAUGCUUGUUCAAAUAUAUUUUGCAAAGAUCAUUUUAGCUACAUCUUACAUUCAUGCAAUAAUGCACACCAGAAAGAUGUUCAAGUACCAGUGUGCCCUUUAUGCAACAAACCUGUGCCAUCUAAAAGGGGAGAGCAGCCUGAUAUUGCUGUCAGUGAACACAUUGAUCGAGACUGCCAAGCUGAUCCAGCUGUUGCAAAGAGAAAGAUAUAUACAAAUAAAUGUGGUGUGAAAGGUUGCAAGCAGAAAGAGGUUAUACGGAUCACUUGUGAUAUUUGCUCCAGAAGCUACUGCCUCAAACAUAGACAUCCUAUAGAUCACAAAUGUCAAGAGCAGAAAAUGACACCUGCCCAAGCUGCUGGAGCUGCAGCCAUUGCCAGAGUCCAAAACUUAAAAAAGUCUAGAUUUCCAUGGUCAUCAAACCAGACUAGUGCCUCUAAUGUUGAGAAGAAGCACGUUACACCGUUGCCAGAGGUUUCAGUUGUAUCUUCAGUUCAAGGAAGAUUAUCUGAAGAUGAAGCAUUGGCUCUAGCUUUGCAAAAGUCUAUGAAUGAAACUAAACCCAAAAAUGUUCAAGAGGAAGAAGAUAGACUCCUUGCUCAAGCUUUGGCAAACUGUGAAAGAGAAACAGUCGGUUCUUCAACGACGAGUAUAUGAACUAACACCUUGCAAACGAAAAAUCAAGAACAAAAUCAUGGCAUUCAACCAGUUCAGAAGAAUAUAUGUUUUUUAAGCAUACUGACUUCACAAGGGUCAAGAAUCAAGAAACAGGAGUUGCUCAGUAUCUUAGCAUUUCAAAUCAAGAAUACAAUGUUAACAAUCAUUUCAUCACUUCUAUAAUACCAGCUAUGCAUUUCUAUGCACUUUUCUACUUUCUAUUCAUCAAUGAUGAAACUUAUAUUUUGUAUAAAUAUUGAUUUCUGCUUUGUAAAAAAUCUCACACUGUUCUUGAUAUGUUUGUAUCUACAAUUAUAUAUAUAUGCGCAAUAUGUUUAAAAGCAAUAAAGGUAUAUAGCCUUACAA